AUAUAAAGAAAAAUGAUGCUGGGGUAAGUCUUUUUUCUAGCUUUAUUUUUCUGUUCCCAUUUUCUGGUUUUUUCAAUGUAUAAUGCCAAUAUUAUAUGAUCUUUCUUUUUCAGUUUGGUAAUAAUAGAAAUCGUAUUCAUCCAAGUUUUCAUUGCGAAGAAUACCAAGAGGUUCAGUAAUAUGCUGAUAAUAAUUAUAGAAUUCAGAAGUUGAUAUUUAAAAUCAUAGUCUAUUAGAGAAUCAUUGGCUGUCUAUGCAUCUAUGGUCGUAGGCAAAUGAUCUAUUUGAAGCUUUUAUAGGUGUAGGAACUGAAAUGCCACUUAAGCAUUUGAUCACAUUGAACUCAUAUUACUUGCUGCAUGCCAUGUUUGAUAAAACUUAACAUCUAGUGAAGACAACUGUAGUAUGUUUUAGUUUCUGAUGAGUACUUGUUGACUAUCA
rnacentral:misc_RNA from 1 species